UGGAAAAACAGGGAUAGGA
rnacentral:piRNA from 1 species